AUUGAACGCUGGCGGCAUGCUUUACACAUGCAAGUCGAACGGCAGCGCGGGCUUCGGCCUGGCGGCGAGUGGCGAACGGGUGAGUAAUACAUCGGAACGUGCCCAGUAGUGGGGGAUAGCUCGGCGAAAGCCGGAUUAAUACCGCAUACGACCUGAGGGUGAAAGCGGGGGAUCUUCGGACCUCGCGCUAUUGGAGCGGCCGAUGGCAGAUUCGCUAGUUGGUGGGGUAAAGGCCUACCAAGGCGACGAUCUGUAGCUGGUCUGAGAGGACGACCAGCCACACUGGGACUGAGACACGGCCCAGACUCCUACGGGAGGCAGCAGUGGGGAAUUUUGGACAAUGGGCGAAAGCCUGAUCCAGCAAUGCCGCGUGUGUGAUGAAGGCCUUCGGGUUGUAAAGCACUUUUGGCGGGAACGAAAAGGACUGUGCAAAUACCACGGUUCGAUGACGGUACCCGCAGAAUAAGCACCGGCUAACUACGUG
rnacentral:rRNA from 1 species